AAUGAUGGUGACCUAAACCCUCACCAGAGUAACAAUUGGAGGGCAAGUCUGGUGCCAGCAGCCGCGGUAAUUCCAGCUCCAAUAGCGUAUAUUAAACUUGUUGCAGUUAAAAAGCUCGUAGUUGAAUUUCUGCGUUAUCGAGUUAUUGACUCUUGUCUUUAAUCGAUUUCGCUUUUGGGAUUUAUCCCUUUUUACUUUGAGAAAAUUAGAGUGUUUCAAGCAGACUUUUGUCUUGAAUACUUCAGCAUGGAAUAAUAGAGUAGGACUUUGGUUCUAUUUUGUUGGUUUUUGAACCUUAGUAAUGGUUAAUAGGAACGGUUGGGGGCAUUCGUAUUUAACUGUCAGAGGUGAAAUUCUUAGAUUUGUUAAAGACGAACUACUGCGAAAGCAUUUGCCAAGGACGUUUCCAUUAAUCAAGAACGAAAGUUAGGGGAUCGAAGACGAUCAGAUACCGUCGUAGUC
rnacentral:rRNA from 1 species